rnacentral:rRNA from 1 species
CUCUUAUAGAUUUUAUAGAAUUUGGUUUUUAGGUGAAGAAACCUAAAUAUAAUUAAAAGACAAGAAGACCCUAUCGAGCUUAAAAUAAUUUUUUUGGUAUAAUGGUAACACCUUACUCAAAAAAAGAUUUUAGUUGGGGCGACUAAGGAACAAAAAAAGCUUCCUAUAAGCUGUACUUACUAAUAAGUAUUGAUCCAAAAAAUUUGAUUAACAGAAUUAGUUACCGUAGGGAUAACAGCAUAAUCUUUUCUAAGAGUCCUUAUCGAAGAAAAGGUUUGUGACCUCGAUGUUGGACUAGGGUGCCCAGAUAGGUGCAGAAGCCUUCAAUGGUUGGUCUGUUCGACCA